UGGGGAAUCUUCCGCAAUGGGCGCAAGCCUGACGGAGCAACGCCGCGUGAGUGAAGAAGGGUUUCGACUCGUAAAGCUCUGUUGUCGGGGACGAACGUGGAGACUAUGAAUAAUGGUUUUCAAUGACGGUACCUGACGAGGAAGCCACGGCUAACUACGUGCCAGCAGCCGCGGUAAUACGGAAGGUCCGGGCGUUAUCCGGAUUUAUUGGGUUUAAAGGGUGCGCAGGCGGCGCGCCAAGUCAGCGGUCAAAGUUCCGGGCUCAACCCGGUGUCGCCGUUGAAACUGGCGUGCUCGAGUGCGUGCGAGGAAGGCGGAAUGCGUUGUGUAGCGGUGAAAUGCAUAGAUAUGACGCAGAACUCCGAUUGCGAAGGCAGCUUUCCAGCGCGCUACUGACGCUGAGGCACGAAAGCGUGGGGAUCGAACAGGAUUAGAUACCCUGGUAGU
rnacentral:rRNA from 1 species